AAAAUCCCUGUAGCAGGUGUGUAAUGGAGAGGAGGAGUCACUGACUGGCUGGUGGACAAUGACAUCGUUAUUUCCCAGGAUGAACUCCGUGAACAUUUAUGAACUUUCAUGGAUGAUAGCCGAUUGAAAUUCCAUUUACUCCAUAGAGAACUUGAGGCACUGAAGUGCUGAUUCCAUUGGAUAGAUGGCAUUUAGAGAUGCAGUUAUCUUUGGCUGGGUUUGCAAGAUUGAUAUAAUGAAUAGCAACUCUCCCUGUAAUAUUUCCCAGGGCAAAACCAGUUGGCUUGUUCUGUUUGCUUAUAAAAGUAGCCACAUAUCAAUGCUGAGGUUUCAUUGAAGAUUUCGAUUCCCCUGAAUUCAGAAGAUUGAUUCUCUUACUGAUAGUCAGCCUGUCUCCACAGUUGCUACCAUGGUCAUACUGUAUCACAUCUCUACAGUAAAACUCUUCAGAGUGUUGCAACAUCAUCAUAGAAUUUGAUAAACAGGCAUCCCAAAACUUGAGAGACUCAUCCAAGCAACUGUCAUCACACUCAUGCAACUGUAGACUGGGGCUUUGAUCAAAUGUUUGCUUCUAACAGGAGUAUCGUGCUAUGCAAUCUGUAGCACUUGGUUGCUAUUGAGGUCCUGAAUUUUGACACUGCUACAUCAAAAUACAUCACACUGGUAUAUACAUAUACAUACAUAUAAACCUUAGACCCAAGGAUUAUCAUCAAUCCUGACAUGGCUGCAUGAAAUCUGCAAAUUCCUUGAAAUGUUAUUGUUUUCCUCCUUUGACAUUUUAGAUGAAUGGGUGUGAAAAACUCCAAGUUACUGAGAAUAGCAACAGGAAAACAUUAUGCUCUCUAUAUGGUUUCAUAAUAAGGUCAUUAUAAAGUGGGUAUCGAUAUUUUGUCAGAAGGGAAAACGGUCUAGUUCUGCAAACAGCCAACAUUUGGGAGUUGAGCCUACCACCAGCCAACGGCCAGGAGCUGAGCCUACCACCAGCCAACAGCCAGGAGCUGAACCUACCAGCAGCCAACGGCCAGGAACUGAGCCUACCACCAGCCAAUGGCCAGGAGAUGAGCCUACCACCAGCCAAGGGCCAGGAGCUGAGCCUACCACCAGCCAACAGCCAGGAGCUCCCCCACAACCCUGCCACCUGCCCCGGUGCAGAGCAGGGAUUGAGACUCCGAAAGCAAUUCCAGUAAAAGGACACACAUCCGAUCAACUUUAGGAUUAAAUAGAAGGCAAAAAUAUAGUCCUGCUAUUUGUAAAGCCCACCCUCACCAAGUGUCCGGGCCCCACUCACCUCCCCAGGAGUCCCUGGGCCCCUGAACACCGCCCACCAUCCAGCCAGGAACCCCUGAAUUCCCGGGCCCCACCCAUCAACCUUGGACUCCCCUCAGCUCCUGUGUCCAGGAUUCCACACUGAAUGCUGGGACAGCCUCCUCUCCAACCCCCGUGCCCACUGUCCUGGACCCUCUAAGCCCAACACCUGGGACCCUGCCCACCAUCCAGGGACACGCCUCAGCUUCGAUCCCCGGGACCCCACCCAUCUCCCUAGAAUCUCCUCAGGUCCCUGAUCAGGAACCACCCCAAGCCCCUGGGCCCCGCCCACUACCACAGGACCCUCUAAGCCCCAUACCUGUGACCAUGGUCACAUCCCAGCCAGGACCCCCCUCACCCACUAACCGGGGCUCUGUAAGGCCCAUGCCCGGAACCCCGCCCACCACUCCAGGACCCACCUCUGCACCUGUGCCUGGGGACACCCCCAUCCAACCCCCGGGCCAAGCCCACUAUCCUUGGGACUUCCCCCUGGGCUCCUGUUCCCUGGGGCCUACCCAUAUCCUCAGAACCCCCUCAGACCCGGGCUCAGAAGCCCCGCAUUAGCCCCCGGGCCCCGCCCAUUACUCCAGGACCACUCCUCACCCCGCCCCGUGCCGGGACCCGCGCUCCUAAUGUCCCCGGCGCGUUAAAAAGCGCCGCCGCCUCACCCUCGCCGAGGAGCGCCACCCUGUCUUGUGUUUCUGGCCCACGGCAGCCCCGCUCGGGUCGGGAGGGGGCGCCGCGCCGGUAGCGGCCCCACCGCCAAGCGCUUCCGGGUCAGAGGGCGCGCGGCGCGACGGGACGUGCUCGGGGCAAAUUCGGAGGCGGGGCUGGGCGCGGGGCUCCGGCGGGGUCCCCUCUGCUUGCGGCGGCGCCGUGGAGGAGGCCGUGGGCGACCUGAAGCAGGCGUCGACUUGCGUCGCUGACCCCUCCUGAGGGGCGCGGCCCCCAGCACCGCCAGGGAGGCCCGGCAGGCCCGACCCGAGGAGACCCCCCGUCCCGCCGCCGCCCCGAUCUGGCUUCAUCUGCAGGAACCCUCAGGCCACCGUGACUGGAGCAGGAAGUUGGGUUAGGAACGUCCAGCAUUAGGAAGAGCGGAAAACGCGGUGACAUCACGGCGUCUUUCAGGGCAUUUUGGAUUUGCCGUCUUUCCAUCCUCAGCCUGUCUGCCUGCCUUGUACUUGCAGCCGGGGCAGGACCUGGCUUCUGCCUGUCCUGGGCAGCAGGCAGCGGGGUCGCGUAGACCUGCUCCUUUGCGUUGGCUGCGUUAACCCCGGUCUCAGGGAUGCGAGGAAAAGACCUUCUCUACCAAACAGCUGUUUUGGGGGCACAGUUCUGGGUGCUGCACGCAGUUGCAGUGGGGCCCAGAGACGCCUUCAGGCCAAAUGCACUGGCGUUCAGAUCAGAGACAUCGGCACAAACCGCACCAUGGACGCACUUGGGGCCAGCAGAGGGCAGGCACAGAGGUGUGAUGUCAGAACCAGCUCGGUGGGGCCGGGGCUGUGACGUAGUGGGCUAACCCUCUGGCUAUGGUGCCAGCGUCCCAUAUGAGCGUUGGUUUGAGUCCCAGCUGCUCCACUUCUGAUCCAGCUGUCCUAUGGCCUGGGAAAGCAGUGGAAGAUGACCCAAGUGCUUGCAUGUGGAAGACCCAGAAGAAGCUCCUGGCUCCUGGCUUCGGAUUGGCACAGCUCCAGCCAUUGCAGCUCUUUGGGGAGUGAACCACCAGAUGAAACAUCUCUCUCUCUCUCACUGUAUUUCUGCUUUUCAAAUAAAUGAAUGUAUCUUUUUAAAAUAACCCUAGUC
ensembl:lncRNA